CACUAGAUGACUGAAAGUAAGUAAUGGUCUCUUAAACCAAUUUAUAGUAAGUUAACGUCUACUUC
rnacentral:tRNA from 1 species